rnacentral:lncRNA from 1 species
CCAGGAAUCAGCCCCUCACGCUCCCCCAGCUCUUACUGGAACCCUCUAGCCCUGAGCCUCCAAUCCUGACCCUGUGGUGGUCACAGUGCCCUUGUUGUUGGUCCCAGGGUCAGGUCAGAGCGAAGCACUGCGGAAGAUCAUCAUGGAUGCCUUGCAUUUACUGGAGAAGCAGAAGGACAAGAAGUGAGCAGGGAUGUGUGUGCGGAUGAGACGUAUAGGAGCUCCUGCCUGCAUCCCCCCCUGCGGGCACCAGCCGGCCGCCCGCGUCUUCCAGUGCGCGACCUGCCGCCUCGUGGACUGCCCGUUCCCUGUAGA